CUGGUCAGCUUUACACAGGUGUCAGAUGAACCGUCACAGCCAGAUUUGCAUGUUGGCCUCAGGAGGGCUUCAAGGUCCAACAUCUCGACAUUGCUCUUCUUGAAAACAGCAGCCUGUGGUUAUGUCAGAGAUGCAAACACUGCUGAAGGCUACAGAGGGAAGCUGGUACUGGCUGCCGUUGAGGCUAAACACUGGGUGGGUUUUUGAAAGAGCUAAUGUAUUCCAGAAGAUAACUCCCUUUGCCAGCCAGAGAAAGGAAGCCAAGAGUCCAUCUUCCUUUCUCCCUAGCCCUAUGAACUAUUUUGGACUGGGGCUGGAACUAGCCUUCAUCCCUACUGCCAGAUGGGCUGAGCGUGAGGCUGGAAACGUGAACAGCUGGCACAGCAGAAGCUGGAGUAAUACUCAUUGCCACAAAGCUGGGCCUGCAGGAUCAAAUCACAGUUGGCCAGCUCUGGCUGGUCGACGCAGUCCCUGCCAGGGUCCCUGGGCUGGGCGGUGGGUGCUGCAGGACGACAGGGGAGAGAGAAGGUGGUGAGGAAGCUCUGUGUAUGCUGAAAAUUCUCACCUGCCAUUUCAUUUCCUUCAGAGGAACACAGCAUUGUAACUGCCAGAUUGAAAACGAAGUGCACUUAACCAUACAUACAAACUCUAUGAGGGAUGAUGAUUUCUACCUGUUUCUUGGCCUCACUUCAACAUGCAGUGGUCCUCCCAUUAUUAUUUGUGGCCUCAGCCCACUGAAUAGCUCUUCCUAGACUCCCAAAUAUUUAUUGACUGGAUAAUUAAACAUCUCUUGAAGUUAA